CCGUUCGUCGUUCUUCGUUCGCACGCACGCUUCAAGGGAAUGUCGGGAUUGUGGUUGCUGAAUGGGGACAUUGAUAGGGGUCAUCGUGCUGCGAUAUGGUAUGAGCGCAAGCUUGAGCCUCUGGUCACUCGCACUCCUAAGGAAAACUGGAAGAUACACUCAGGAUGGCUUCAGCGGUUGAAAUGGGCCGGCCUUUUACCUUUCGCGCGUCUGGUUGAGUCUAUCCCGGGUGAGAAACGCCUCGCCAUCGAUGGGUCUUUGCUGAGCUGCUUAGUGGACCGUUGGAGGCCAGAGACCCACACGUUUCACUUCAGAUGGGGAGAGAUGGCUCCUACUCUGGAGGAUGUGUCACUUUUGCUCGGACUACCGUUGGCAGGUCGUGCCGUAGGACCGUUGG